rnacentral:rRNA from 1 species
UGCGUUCCAUUAGGUUGUUGGCGGGGUAACGGCCCACCAAGCCUUCGAUGGAUAGGGGUUCUGAGAGGAAGGUCCCCCACAUUGGAACUGAGACACGGUCCAAACUCCUACGGGAGGCAGCAUG